rnacentral:ncRNA from 2 species
GGACAGAACUCUGGAAAGUUUUUUCAAUAAACACCGAAGGGGCAAUUUCCCAUGCUGGAAAAAAUCUCUCAGGUAAAAAGACAGAGUAGGAAAA